AACGUAGGAGACAAACGUUAUCCGGAGUUACUGGGCGUAAAGGGCGUGUAGGUGGUAGUGUAAGUCUGGCGUGAAAUUUUUCGGCUUAACCGGGAAGGGUCGUCGGAUACUGCACAACUAGAGGACGGUAGAGGCGUGUGGAAUUCCGGGUGUAGUGGUGAAAUGCGUAGAGAUCCGGAGGAACACCAGUGGCGAAGGCGACACGCUGGGCCGUACCUGACACUGAGGCGCGAUAGCAUGGGGAGCAAACAGG
rnacentral:rRNA from 1 species